UCUCCGUUGGUGAACCAGCGGAGGGAUCAUUACCGAGUUUACAACUCCCAAACCCCUGUGAACAUACCUAUCGUUGCCUCGGCGGUGCCCGCUCCGGCGGCCCGUCAGAGGACCCCCAAACUCUUGUUUUAUACAGUAUCUUCUGAGUAACACGAUUAAAUAAAUCAAAACUUUCAACAACGGAUCUCUUAGUUCUG
rnacentral:misc_RNA from 1 species